UUAAGAGCACGUGAAAUCGGUAAGGUGGAAACGGAUAGAGUUAACGUAUCUGAUUUGUGUUCAGCUGUUAAUUGUUUGUAAUGUAUAAUUUUAAAAGUGUGUUAGUAGUUUACUGCCGUACAUUGCUUUUUAGUUUACAUCUGCAUCAAUUAGCGGUGCAUUUACAAAUCUAUGUGCGCUGGAACAUGUGCGUGGGUUGCUGGAUUCACAAGAAGAUCUUUACAAUUUAUUGUAUUGAGCAAACUUGUUGUUAUAAGGCAAUUCUGCGUGCAUGUCUAAUGAUUUUUUGGGGUAUGGCAUUAGCGAAUGCAUUUUGUGUAUGGUUUUGCAGCGUAUGUCGGUCGCUUGCGACACGUAUAUUGUUUUGCAAAAAAUUUAAUAUACAUUUUGCUUCACUUGCCCGCUUCCAGUGUAAAAGUUAAUUAUCUAUCCGACCCGUCUUGAAACACGGACCAAGGAGUUUACCGUAUACGCCAGUCAUUGGGUGAUAAAACCU
rnacentral:rRNA from 1 species